rnacentral:snoRNA from 14 species
GAAGAUGAUGAGCUCGGCAGGUCCUGAGGAGUGAUGAGGAUCUUGAGUGCUGAUUC